CUGUUCUGAUGAAAUAGACGUGGUCCUCCAUUCACCACAAGGGCAGAGGUCAAGACUGACAGCAACUGUGCAUCACCAGGCGGAAAUUGGUUUUUGUAAUCUAAAAAUCUAGUUUAAGUAGUGGGAAUGUUUGUGAUACACGUGAAUAAACCAAGGACAAGAAAAAGGGGAAGAAAUCAGAAGUUAUGUCAUCCAUGAAGGGUCAAAAAUGUGAUGAACUUUUACUGCUCCAAAGCACUAUAGAUCUCAUUCUGUCGUGCCAGCUGCAGUGCAGUGGCAUGAGUUUGGCUAACUAACUGCGGUCUACCUUCCGGGCUCGAGUGAUCCUCCGACUUCAGCUUCCUGAGUAGCUGGGACUACAGGCACCCACUACCACACCUGGAUCUAUUAUUCCUGCUGAGAGAAUCUACUAAAGAAGAAUUUUUCAUAGUGACACCAACUCUAGGCUUGCUGUGAAUAAUCACAAUGUCAUAAAAAUCAUUCUUUUUAUUGCCAACUUGCUGCCAGAAGCAUGGAAAAAUAUUCAGACGGAGAGAACUUUCAUCCUUUUCUGCAACGGCUUUCUUUUAACUUUCAUGGCCAUUUGCAGAAAGUGAAUCGCAUACCAAUUUAUUCACAAAGCAUUUAACUAGAGCCUUCAUUUGCACAAAAAUAUUUGUUUCGCUCAUAUAAAACAAUGAACUAUAUGGUCUAAUAUUAAAUAGGUCAUACAUUAAGGAAGUGUGUGUGGGUGUUUUUUUUUUCUGGAGCAAUUUCCCACUCCUUCUAAAAUCAUUUGCAACAAAUAUUAGUUCCUGUUUAAUGCCAUUACAUGGCUAUAGGUUCAUCUUUAUUUAACUGCAAACCAUAUGUCAAUGCAUUUUGUAAAGAAAUAUUUUCAUGUAAUUAACCUUUUUAAAUGCCUUUUUCUUUUGCAGGGGUGAGGAUGGGGUUGAAAUUUUGAAAGUUUAAGAGACUAAUUUAUGAACUUCAGUUAAUUUAUACUGCUAGCUAAUUUUCUAAUAGUAAGAAACACUCAAUUUUGCAUAAAAGAACAUAUAGCUCAGAAUAAAUCAGGCCCAAUCGUAUCCUUAGUUAAUAAGUUAAUAAAGAUUUUUCCAAGCUGAUUUUCU